UACGUAGGGGCCGAGCGUUGUCCGGAUUUAUUGGGCGUAAAGAGCGUGUAGGCGGCCGCUUAAGUCCUGCGUGAAAUCUCGGAGCUCAACUCCGAGCGGUCGUGGGAAACUGGGCGGCUAGAGUGCGGGAGAGGAGAGUGGAAUUCCUGGUGUAGCGGUGGAAUGCGCAGAUAUCAGGAAGAACACCCGUGGCGAAGGCGGCUCUCUGGAACGCAACUGACACUGAGGGACGAAAGCUAGGGGAGCGAAUGGG
rnacentral:rRNA from 1 species